rnacentral:lncRNA from 1 species
CUAGCCUUCCUCCCUCUGACCAGGGGUCCAGGUCCCAGCCCUCCUCCGUCUAACCAAGAGUACAAACCCUAGCCCUCCUCCCUUUGUCUAGGAGUGCAGACCCCUGCCCUAUUUCCUCAGACCCAGGAGUUUGGACCCCAGCCCUCCUCCAUCCCGCUGACCAGAACUCCAGACCCCAGCCCUCCUCCUCAGACUCAGGAGCUCUGGGCCAAAGCCAGAACACCAGAAGUCACUGAGGUUCCCUCCGCACUGUGCUGAGUGGUCACGGAGACAGGAUCAACUAGGGAUCAUGGUCCCUACCGAGUCCCUAAUCUGGCUUCCCCUCGUGGGAAACCUGGCCCCUUGACGGUCAUUGUGGACAGGAAAAACAGCAAUGGCACUUGAGAGUCUC